GACGAACGCUGGCGGCGUGCUUAACACAUGCAAGUCGAACGGAAAGGCCCUGCUUUUGUGGGGUGCUCGAGUGGCGAACGGGUGAGUAACACGUGAGUAACCUGCCCUUGACUUUGGGAUAACUUCAGGAAACUGGGGCUAAUACCGGAUAGGAGCUCCUGCUGCAUGGUGGGGGUUGGAAAGUUUCGGCGGUUGGGGAUGGACUCGCGGCUUAUCAGCUUGUUGGUGGGGUAGUGGCUUACCAAGGCUUUGACGGGUAGCCGGCCUGAGAGGGUGACCGGCCACAUUGGGACUGAGAUAAGGCCCAGACUCAUACGGGAGGCAGCAGUGGGGAAUAUUGCACAAUGGGCGGAAGCCUGAUGCAGCAACGCCGCGUGCGGGAUGACGGCCUUCGGGUUGUAAACCGCUUUCGCCUGUGACGAAGCGUGAGUGACGGUAAUGGGUAAAGAAGCACCGGCUAACUACGUG
rnacentral:rRNA from 1 species